GCACGGAUAGCUCAGUGGGUAGAGCUGGCGACCCAUGUACUGAGGCUGCAGUGGCCCGGGUUCAAAUCCGACCUGCGGCCCUUUGCUGCA